rnacentral:rRNA from 1 species
AUACGGAGGGUGCAAGCGUUGUCCGGAUUUAUUGGGUUUAAAGGGUGCGUAGGUGGCGUGUUAAGUCAGUGGUGAAGGCCUGCAGCUCAACUGUAGAGGUGCCAUUGAUACUGACAUGCUUGAGUAUGGACGAGGUAGGCGGAAUUUGUGGUGUAGCGGUGAAAUGCAUAGAUACCACAAAGAACACCGAUAGCGAAGGCAGCUUACUGGACCAUAACUGACACUGAGGCACGAAAGUGUGGGUAGCGAACAGGAUUAGAUACCCUAGUAGUCC